UCACCUCUGUUAAUGUGCGAUAUCUUUGAUUUUUCAGUCUUCCAUCCCUCUCCCAGCUCCUUCUUUUCAAGAUGGUGUCUAAAGCACAAUUGGCCAUAAAGCAGAGAGGAGACACUGGGGCCCCUGGGUGCUUCUGGCCUCUGGCUUCUGUGAGGGAGGCAGAAAUGGACGUCCAAAAAUUUUAAGUACUAUGGUCCCCUCAGAGACUAAUGAAAAGCAAAUGAUGGGAAUGCAGCAAACUCUUCUGAUGCUGACCCUUUCAUGUCUUUGCACAUCAAGAAGACAAGUGCCACCGAGGGCUCUGCCCAGUUGAUUUCUGAACAUAACAGAGAUUCUCCACUGUUUGAACGUAAGCAGCACGUGCGCAGAACUGACCCUGUUUGGACUGAGGUCUCGUUGUCAACAGUGUGCUCACCAACUGACUUCACAUUUGGUUCAUUAACUUCCUUCUCCUUAUUGCAUCUUGUUGGUUGCGUGACUUCAUAUGGUGCUUUGCUUUGUGUGACACAUAUGAGGCCCCGUGAACAUGUAGUGAACAUCAUUGAGUUUGUAAUCCUGAACCUGAUUUUACUAUUGUGGGAACCUUGGCUUACGACUGAAAGAAGGUGUUAUUGUGUAAAGACACAA